rnacentral:lncRNA from 1 species
AUCUUGAUCAGAAGGUAAUGAUUCAAUUGAUGAUAUAUUAAAAAAAAUUUUCUAGUUAUCAUCCUGUUUGGGCCAAAGACUUCCAAAAUCACCGUCUUAUGAGAUCACAUAAGAUAUUCGCACCCUUUAUUAGGAGUGACUGAUCUCUUAUUGAUCACUUAUAAUCUCCAUGUAUACUUUACCACAUUCAGAACACCCCA